rnacentral:precursor_RNA from 15 species
CCUGAACAGCCCUGGCUCCCGGGAAUGGUGAGUGUAACAACUCUUCUCCUUCCGAAAACCAAUAAUCGAGAAGAGAUGAGCGGUUGUGCUUCACCAUUGGUAGGGAGUCUCCACCAGGGGUGU